rnacentral:rRNA from 1 species
UCCGGUUGAUCCCGCCGGACCUGACUGCUAUCGGAUUGAUACUAAGCCAUGCUAGUCUUUGUAGUAAUACAAGGCAUACGGCUCAGUAACGCGUAGUCAACCUACCCUAUGGACGGGGAUAAUCUCGGGAAACUGAGCAUAAUACCCGGCAGACCACUUAUCCUGGAAUGGUUAGUGGUUAAAAUGAUUCGUCGCCAUAGGAUGGGACUGCGGCCUAUCAGCUUGUUGGUGAGGUAAUGGCCCACCAAGGCGAUUACAGGUACGGGCUCUGAGAGGAGAGGCCCGGAGAUGGGUACUGAGACAAGGACCCAGGCCCUAUGGGGCGCAGCAGGCGAGAAAACUUUGCAAUGUGCGAAAGCACGACAAGGUUAAUCCGAGUGAUUUCUGCUAAAGGAAUCUUUUGUUAGUUCUAAAAAUACUAGUGAAUAAGGGGUGGGCAAGUUCUGGUGUCAGCCGCCGCGGUAAAACCAGCACCUCAAGUGGUCAGGAGGAUUAUUGGGCCUAAAGCAUCCGUAGCCUGUUCUAUAAGUUUGCGGUUAAAUCUAUACGCUCAACGUAUAGGCUGCCGUAAAUACUGUAGAACUAGGGAGUGGGAGAGGUAGACGGUACUCGAUAGGAAGGGGUAAAAUCCUUUGAUCUAUUGAUGACCACCUGUGGCGAAGGCGGUCUACCAGAACACGUUCGACGGUGAGGGAUGAAAGCUGGGGGAGCAAACCGGAUUAGAUACCCGGGUAGUCCCAGCUGUAAACGAUGCAGACUCGAUGAUGCAAUGGCAUAGAGCUAUUGCAGUAUCGCAGGGAAGCCGUUAAGUCUGCCGCCUGGGAAGUACGUACGCAAGUAUGAAACUUAAAGGAAUUGGCGGGGGAGCACCACAAGGGGUGAAGCCUGCGGUUCAAUUGGAUUCAACGCCGGA